UGAGGAAUAUUGGACAAUGGAUGGAAAUCUGAUCCAGCCAUGCCGCGUGCAGGAAGACGGCCCUAUGGGUUGUAAACUGCUUUUGUAUGGGAGCAAUAAGGACUACGUGUAGUUUGAUGAGAGUACCAUACGAAUAAGCAUCGGCUAACUCCGUGCCAGCAGCCGCGGUAAUACGGAGGAUGCGAGCGUUAUCCGGAUUUAUUGGGUUUAAAGGGUGCGUAGGCGGCGUUAUAAGUCAGUGGUGAAAUAUUUCGGCUUAACCGAGAGACUGCCAUUGAUACUGUGUUGCUAGAAUAUGGUUGCUGUGAGUGGAAUGUGUGGUGUAGCGGUGAAGUGCUUAGAUAUCACACAGAAUAUCGAUUGCGAAGGCAGCUCACAAAGCCAUUAUUGACGCUGAGGCACGAAAGUGUGGGGAUCAAACA
rnacentral:rRNA from 1 species